AAUCAAUUAUCUGCAACGGCACUUCUCUAUUUCUUCUUUCUCCCUUUCUCCUCUCUUCUUUCUCUCUGUUCUCUCUCCUCCUGUUCUCUCUUUCCCUCCCUCUCUCUUCUCUUCUCUGCUCCCCCCCGUCUCUCUCCUUCUCUCCCUCUCUCUCGCCCUCUCUUUCACUCUCUGUCUGUCCAAUGCAGGCGGCUCUAAGUUGGGAAGCUCAUUAAUUAGCGGGCCGGGGGUAGGAGGAGCCGGCUGGAAUUAGCCUGCCUAAUGCGCCUGUCAGUCCGGGCGCUGCGCCGCGCUCGGCCCGAGCUGUUUGUAAAUUACAUUAGCGGCGCCUUUAUUGCACCCGAACCUCGGGCGACUCAAAAGCCGCCGCCCCCACCCCAAACUGCGAGCCUCGCUCCCGGCGCACCCGCCUCCCGCCGGCCUGGCUGCGCUGGUAGCGCUGGCCCGGAGGUCUCAGGCUCUCCGACCCGGGAUUUGGCGCCCGAGAAGGGCGGCGUGAGCCCAGCCGGAGAGGGACGCGGCCGCCGCGCGGGCCAGGCUGAAGAAAAAUAGGGAAACUGAGGAGAAAAUUCUCUCUAAAAGGAGCCAGACAGGGGGAGAGGAAGAGAAGAGAAAAUUUGAACGAGAACCCUAUGCUUCUUGUCAUUAUUUCUAAGAAGAUGGGGAACAAGGCAUUCACUCAACAAGGUUAUGGGGGGCCACCGUGUCCCCUAAGCACUGUAUGUGAUUAACAGUGAACCGCAUGGACACUAUUCCGGCUCAGGAUCUAAUGGGCUCCACAGAAGACGGGCCUUCAGGACACAGCUGAUAACUCUAGGAAAUGGUCCCUACCACUGUCCCCACUUACCUGGAAGGAGCCAAGGCAGUGAAAGGACCCACAGCUGGAUGGGGUGGAAUGGGGAAACACCUUCCAGAGAAGUCUUCUGCAAAGCGUGGAGAUCCAUUGCAAAUGCUUAGAUAAGGACCACCACCAAUAUCUCUAUGCCCUGGCCAUCUUUGGAGUCUCAGAGGCAGGUUGGGGGAAGCUGGCCACAGCCGGGAGGCAGAGUGGCCAGCUCCCAGUCCACAUCUUUGGGAUCCCAGGGCUGGAAAGAGGCAGAAAGUCUCUCAGGAUGGAGAGAAAACCCCUAUUCUCUUACAUCCAAACCUCUGGAGAUAAAACCCCAGAUCUCAGCCCCUCCUGCGAAGAGCAGAACCUUCCCCAGAGCUACCCAGCUUUGAAGCAGCCAGUGGGUAGUGGUGCAUCACUGGAUGGUGUUUUGGGGAUUCCCCCCACUCUGGCCAUCUUCGACCAUUUCUUUCAGCCUCUCCUCCUCAUCCCCUGCCCUCCUUUCUCCCAGGCCUCCUUCCCAGAAGCUGACCUGGAGCUGGAUUUCCAAAUAAACAGUAACUAAUUGGAUUAGAAGCUGAUAA